AGAGUUUGAUCCUGGCUCAGGAUGAACGCUGGCGGCGUGCUUAACACAUGCAAGUCGAACGGGAAUUACUUUAUUGAAACUUCGGUCGAUUUAAUUUAAUUCUAGUGGCGGACGGGUGAGUAACGCGUGGGUAACCUGCCUCAUACAGGGGGAUAACAGUUAGAAAUGACUGCUAAUACCGCAUAAGACCACAGAGCCGCAUGGCUCAGUGGGAAAAACUCCGGUGGUAUGAGAUAGACCCGCGUCUGAUUAGGUAGUUGGUGGGGUAACGGCCUACCAAGCCAACGAUCAGUAGCCGACCUGAGAGGGUGGCCGGCCACAUUGGGACUGAGACACGGCCCAAACUCCUACGGGAGGCAGCAGUGGGGAAUAUUGCACAAUGGGGGAAACCCUGAUGCAGCGACGCCGCGUGAGCGAAGAAGUAUUUCGGUAUGUAAAGCUCUAUCAGCAGGGAAGAAAAUGACGGUACCUGACUAAGAAGCACCGGCUAAAUACGUGCCAGCAGCCGCGGUAAUACGUAUGGUGCAAGCGUUAUCCGGAUUUACUGGGUGUAAAGGGAGCGUAGACGGCUGUGUAAGUCUGAAGUGAAAGCCCGGGGCUCAACCCCGGGACUGCUUUGGAAACUAUGCAGCUAGAGUGUCGGAGAGGUAAGUGGAAUUCCCAGUGUAGCGGUGAAAUGCGUAGAUAUUGGGAGGAACACCAGUGGCGAAGGCGGCUUACUGGACGAUGACUGACGUUGAGGCUCGAAAGCGUGGGGAGCAAACAGGAUUAGAUACCCUGGUAGUCCACGCCGUAAACGAUGACUACUAGGUGUCGGGGAGCAAAGCUCUUCGGCGCCGCAGCAAAAGCAAUAAGUAGUCCCCUUGCGGAGUACGUUCACCAGAAUGAAACUCAAAGGAAUUGACGGGGGACCCGCACAAGCGGUGGAGCAUGUGGUUUAAUUCGAAGCAACGGGAAGAACCUUGCCUGCUCUUGACAUCCCGGUGACCGGCAUGUAAUGAUGCCUUUUCUUCGGAACACCGGCGACAGGUGGUGCAUGGUUGUCGUCAGCUCGUGUCGUGAGAUGCUGGGUUAAGUCCCGCAACGAGCGCAACCCUUAUCUUCAGUAGCCAGCAUUUCGGAUGGGCACUCUGGAGAGACUGCCAGGGAUAACCUGGAGGAAGGUGGGGAUGACGUCAAAUCAUCAUGCCCCUUAUGAGCAGGGCUACACACGUGCUACAACGGCGUAAACAAAGGGAAGCGAGCCUGCGAGGGUAAGCAAAUCUCAAAAAUAACGUCUCAGUUCGGAUUGUAGUCUGCAACUCGACUACAUGAAGCUGGAAUCGCUAGUAAUCGCGAAUCAGCAUGUCGCGGUGAAUACGUUCCCGGGUCUUGCACUCACCGCCCGUCA
rnacentral:rRNA from 1 species